CCUGGCUCAGAUUGAACGCUGGCGGCAGGCCUAACACAUGCAAGUCGAGCGGUAGAGAGGUGCUUGCAUCUCUUGAGAGCGGCGGACGGGUGAGUAAUGCCUAGGAAUCUGCCUAGUGGUGGGGGAUAACGUUCGGAAACGGACGCUAAUACCGCAUACGUCCUACGGGAGAAAGCGGGGGAUCUUCGGACCUCGCGCCAUUAGAUGAGCCUAGGUCGGAUUAGCUAGUUGGUGAGGUAAUGGCUCACCAAGGCGACGAUCCGUAACUGGUCUGAGAGGAUGAUCAGUCACACUGGAACUGAGACACGGUCCAGACUCCUACGGGAGGCAGCAGUGGGGAAUAUUGGACAAUGGGCGAAAGCCUGAUCCAGCCAUGCCGCGUGUGUGAAGAAGGUCUUCGGAUUGUAAAGCACUUUAAGUUGGGAGGAAGGGUAGUAACCUAAUACGUUGCUACUUUGACGUUACCGACAGAAUAAGCACCGACUAACUUCGUG
rnacentral:rRNA from 1 species